GUCCUGGCCCUAAACGGUGCACGUUUGCUGUAAGUGGAAUCGACCCCACUUGUGGCGUAGUUAACACGAUAAACGUGCCGCCUGGGAAGUACGGCCGCAAGGUUAAAACUCAAAGAAAUUGACGGGGGCCUGCACAAGCGGUGGAGUAUGUGGCUUAAUUCGAUGCAACGCGAAGAACCUUACCUGGCCUUGACAUGCAAGUAGUAGAAGCCUGAAAGGGUGACGAAUCCGCAAGGAUAGCUUGCACAGGUGCUGCAUGGCUGUCGU
rnacentral:rRNA from 1 species